ACAGAGCAUGCAUCGCUGAGAGGCUCCUGAUAAAAUAAUAAAACCCAAUUCUCAUCUCGAAAAAAGAAUCAUUAUAGGAGGAUGAUACACGCUUUUCUGGAAAACCUUGAAGCCCCUGGUAGGGCUGACCGCCGCUCCCCGCCCCCAAGGCCUUGCCUGGAUGUAACUGACAUGUACAUAGAUACACUCUUGGACCGUGAGGGGGUUGGGGUGGGGAUUCUGCUUGUCCUCAGUUGUUCUCAAAUUACUGGAUAAAGUACAUGUAUUGGGUCCUUCGCACCAGAAGGAAUAAUGGAGUCCGGUUAUAAAAUCCAUACCACGUUAGCAGACUCGUGGUGGCUGCCUUCUCAGAAGAUCCAAGGAACUUAGCCCCGUCCUUAAAGGCAAGGUGAUUGCACUAAGAUUAGCUCUGCUCCUUUUUUUUUUUUUUUUUAAUUGUUACAAGCUUUUUUUCUUUUUUUUUUUUUUUUGAAACGGCCCUUGAGAUCCAGGUUAGGUUCUUGCUUGGAGUAGUUUGUGUAGCCGGUGCACAUCAGUUACUAGCACUGUGUUCAUGCGGUGCACUUCGGUCUGGGGGCGGAUUGCCGCCUGAAGUCCGCCCGGGGCCAUGCUGAAUUCAGCCUUGGGCUUGCAAACUCCACCACGGGUCCGUGCUCUCAAAGGCACAGACCGGAGGCAACGAAGUGUUAUCACUCCAAUGUGUUUCUCCCUUAGUGGUCCCUUCCAAAGAAAAAGAUGCCGUUGUUGGUGUGCGAAUCCUGGAAGGAGCCAAGAUUUGGGAAAAUUGUCUCUGCCACCUUCUAAGCUACUCUUCAUAUCAAGUAACACCCAACUCAUGGGAUUGGGACACGUUUUGUGCUCGAAUGAACGACAUCAUAAUAACGGACGACGGCGAUUCUUAGCCCUCCGUCCACCUCUUCACAGAGCGUCCGUACUUUCUAAGCCUUAUUUUGAAGGAGGUGUAAUUUCUACAGAACAGUACCAAGCAGAGAGAACUGUGGAUCUUCACUCACAAGAAAGUCAAAUUAACAACCAACCUGCUUUACUGAGACCUAUCCUGUUUGAGGCACUGUUAUGUUUAGUAUUAAGAAGGUCUAAGUUUUCUCAUCUUUAAAUGGGAAAUAUGAAACUCAAAGAAGUUAACAGCCACAUGCCCAAAGUCAAUCAGUCAGUGGGUAAGUAUCAGCGUUGGGGAUUUUUUUUCUUUUUUUUUAAUGUUUCUUUUUGAGAGGGAGAGAGACAGACAGAGUGUGAGCAGGGAAGGGCAGAGAGAAGAAGACACAGAAUCUGAAGCAUGCGCCAAGCUCCCAGUUGCCAGCACAGAGCCCAGUGCGGGGGGCUUGAACCCACAAACCGUGAGACCAUGACCUGAGCUGAAGUGGCAUGCUGAACCAACUGAGCCACGCAGGUGCCCCUCAGAGCUGGGAUUUUAACCCAGAUCAGUGGAUUAUACAGGAAGACCUCUGACUACCUGUCCACGCUGUGACUGGUAUGUGUGUGUGGAAGGCACUUGCCAUGCCUGUUUAAAAAACGAGUGGAAACAUCAAACAAAGUGAAUUUGCAUGAAAAGAGCAAUGAUGUCUCCAUCUUAUUCAAGACCUUCCAAUACAAAAGGCUUCCUCUAGAUGUCAGUUUCUUCUUCGCUGUUCUGGGGAUAUUGAAUUCACAGUGUGGCUUGGAGACCUAAUUGGUGUAAGACGUGGCGAGACCUGGAAGAUCCUGGCGCGCAGUAGACGGUAAGGAUGAUGACGUUGACCAUGAAGUUGACGACGACGACGAUGAUGAUGAUAAUGAUAACGAUGGCAUAAAUGUGUUUGUAGAGGAGGGGGUUUGAGAAUUCUGAAUUGGGGUCAGACUCAAUAUUUUAACAUGUUUUCCAUACUGAACUGAUGCAUCAAGACUGGGUGGGGCAGCAGGCAAGGUUUCCAGUGUUUUUCUCCACUUCACGUGCACCCUGUACAUUAUGAUCCGUGAUAACUUAGACCAGCAACCUCACCAGCAGAUGGAGAAAUGUCCCUAAUUGGGUCUACCAGCUCUGAAAUCAUACUGGAACCAGCUGGAUUGCCCAAGGUUUCCAGCCUCACGGCUGGUGGAGCAGAAUACUAAGGUCACCUGGAUCUCUUGGGAGUAUUACAAAAGCCUUGUUUCAGGCGUCACCUGGCUCUUUAAAAAUAUUUUUGAAUAAAAUGUAUACAGGCCUCUAUGAAUCUAUGCCC
ensembl:lncRNA